AAAUGAACACGAAACCAAAUAUCGUUUAAAUAUUCCGGUCGACAUUUCAGGCAAAUGACUGAAUCAUGCCAAGAAAGAAACAACUGGAAUAUUCUGUUACCAAAACUGAGAAGGAGUUGUGAGCCAAUUGAUUUUACCAGAUAUUCCUGCCAAGCGACUUCUAAAUCAUCGGAGGCCUGGAGUCCGGCAGCCAGUGUCAUCAUCACAAUUACGACGGCGAAGUUUUAGCUAGCUACAACUUACCUCAGGAAACCAAUUUUCUCGUAGAGUCGAAUGUGUGGCUGAAUCACAGAGAGAAGGAUGAAAAAUGAUCAUGAAAUCUCGGACUUUUAUACGGUUCUUAUUAUUGACUUUGUUCCUUAAUGCACAUCUGAUCAAUAUUAGUAAUGGGGCCUGGGCGAAGCGUCA
rnacentral:lncRNA from 1 species